AUUCUCGGGUGUUGGUAGAUCUCUCUGCAUCCCGGGCGCGGCUGGGUUGAGUGUUCUCUUAGGAAUGGUGGAGAACUGGGUCCUUGAGGAGUCACCGGGGAGACUGCUCGCACUGUUUGUGGUGCGACGGGCACUGGCCCAGGGACAGAGGGAAGAGAAGGGCCAGCCAGCGGCAGUGGAGUCGGCAGGCUGGCUGCCCACUCGCUUUCUCUCCUCACAAGACUCGCUUCCCCGGCCUUCGAGGAUCUCGAACGGACUAUAGUCUGGACUCGCUGGGCUGGAGGAAACUUGGCCGCUGGCCACCCGGAGGAGACUGAGAAGCCUUUGGUCAACAGGGCGCCUUUCCUUGAACCAAAACAAAACUUUCCGAAGCCGGAAAGGAAACGCCCAGUGUCGCCUGAGAGCCCUGGAGCUGCGCGAGACCCAGGCACUGAGUGCGGCCUCGGCCUCUGACCUCUAACACGCCGGGAACAAACCAGCUGGGGCGGCCCGCAGGCCUGCGGGAGCGGAAUGUGACCCGAAACCGACGGACUUCCUGACCCAUAGUCCAUAGUUCUCUUCAGCAACUUGAACAUUUUGGAAAAAGAAACAAGUCUUAACAUGCCACGACCUAAUGGAAAAACUAAAUCCCCUUCCUACACCUUGCUUUCCAAAAGUUAAAAAAAAAUAGUUAAACGCUAUUAGAGGUCUCAAGUUCACUGUCACCAGAUCAGCUAGGUCCAGAAUCUUCAGUUCUUGAAGCCAAGCCCUACAAAUAGAUUUAUUGUAGCAUAUCACACCUCUUCAGGUGACUUAAAACAAUGAGAAUUCAUGAGAAAUUAUCUUCAUCCUCAAGUAAAAAUCAUGAGGUGCCUUUCACAUGGAUGAAAUUGCCCUGCUGUCUCAUGUUUCGUCAACAGGAAGAAAAAUACGUCUUCAAGUUUGUUUUGUUUGUUUGAGAUGGAAUCUCGCUAUGUCGCCCAGGCUGGAGGUGCAGUGGCGCGAUCUCGGCUCACUGCAACCUCCGCCUCCUGGAUUCAAGCGAUUCUCCUGCCUCAGCCUCCCGAGUAGCUGGGACUACAGACGCCCGCCACCAUGCCCGGCUAAUUUUUUUGUAUUUUUAGUAGAGACGGGGUUUCACUGUGUUAGCCAGGAUGGUCUGGAUCUCCUGACCUCAUGAUCCGCCUGCCUUGGUCUUCCAAAGUGCUGGGAUUACAGGCAUGAGCCACCGCACUCGGCUGUCUUCAUGUUUUAUCUUAUCUUCCCUGACGCCUAUAUUUCUGAUUUGUGUUCUUUUAAUUCAUGACAAUUUGUUUAGUCUCAACUUUUAUUUGCUCUAUGGUGAGAAUGCUUUAUCUACUAUUUGUUUUGCGGGGGCGGGGGCUGGGUAUUCCCAUCUUUUCUUUUUUUUACAGUUCCUAUGCUAGUUUUUAUUUUAUUUUAGGUCAACUUUAAAUAAGGUGAGUUCUUAUCUAUUUACUGGAGUUUUGUAUGAGAGAGGCCAAGAUGGUAUUCAUGGUCAGCAGAAACUCUCCUCAUGAGACAGGGUUAUGUGCUACGUGUGUGAAUAAACUUUAUGUUUUGCUUCUCUGCAGCCUCCUUGAGAUCAGCACCAAUGGGAUGUCACAAUGCAGACUCUCUCCCCCACUCUUUCCUCAACUACAGACUACUUCCUGAAAAAUAUGAUUAGUUUAUGAUAUUUCUUGCUCAAAUCCGCUUCCUCAGCUUUUUCUCAGUACCAAACUGUCCAGAAAAGUUCCCACCACCGGAACCUCAUUCCAUUGUUGCAAACAAAGAGAUUAUUGAUUUUUCAUCUUAGGCUAUGCACUUCACGUUAGAGUCAUGGAUUCUGCUGGCUCUGUACAUUUCUGUUUGAUCUUCACUGCUUUUGGCAGACUUUUUUUCUGUUUUAGUUUCAAAUAUCUUCUAGUUGCAUCAGAUAUAGAGUUGACAUUACCGUUUCUUAUUCUUCUUAUUACUUUUGGGUGGCUAGGCAGUAAAGACCUAUGUUCUUUGCCAUAUUAAUACCUAGAUAAGAUCAGAAGAUGAUUUUGCAUUAAUUCUGCCUGGCAUUUAGUAGACUCUUCCAAUCCAAGUCUGGGAAAUGUUCUUUUUUUAUUUCUUUGAUAAUUGUCUCCCUUUUAUUCUUACAGUCCUAUAGCUGUAUAAUUUUAGUUAUAUUUAUCUUCUGUAUCUCUUAAUAUUGCUGUACUUUUUCUUUUUCUUUUUUUCUUUGAGACAGAGUCUUGCUCUGUUGCCCAGGCUGGAGUGCAGUGGCACAAUCUCGGCUCACUGCCCAGCUCUGCCUCCCGGGUUCACACCAUUCUUCCCCCUCAGCCUCUGAGUAUCUGGGACUGCAGACGCCCGCCACCAUGCCCAGAUAAUUUUUUUAUAUUUUUAGUAGAGACGGGGUUUCACCAUGUUAGCCAGGAUGGUCUCGAUCUCCUGACCUCAUGAUCCGCCCGUCUCUGCCUCCCAAAGUGCUGGGAUUACAGGCAUGAGCCACCACGCCUGGCCUAUUGCUGUACUUUUUCUUUUGUUCUUUUUUUUUCUUUUUUGCAUAAAUUUUGGAAAAGUCUCUCAGCUCAAUUUUCCAACUCAUUAAUUGUAUAUUCAGGUUAGGGUAAGGGUUAUUGUAUAUUUAGCCCAAUUAUUGGAUUUAGUCAUUUUUUUUUUUCUUUGAGAAGGAUUCUCACUCCAUCACCCAGACUGGAGUGCAGUGGCGCAAUAUCGGCUCACUGCAAUCUCUGCCUCCUGGGUUCAAGCAAUUCUCUUGCCUCAGCCUCCUGAGUAGCUGGGAUUACAGGCACCUGCCACCACGCCUAAGUUUUGUAUUUUUAGUAGAGACGGGGUUUCACCAUGUUGGCCAGGCUAGUCUUGAACUCCUGACCUCAGAUGAUCCACCCGCCUCAGCCUCCAAAAGUGCUGGGAUUACAGGCAUGAGCCACCAUGCCUGGCCGCAAUAAUAUUUUAAAAUUUCCAUGAAUUCUGGUUGUGUUUCAUAGCAGCUGUCUCUUGUUUCAAUGUGAUUUACUUUAAAGCAACUCUGAGGAUCUGAACUAUGUUUAAUUUCAAGUUUUUAUCUGUUUCUAUUGACUAUUCUUUUUAAGUGGGCUAGUUCUAUUUGUUAAAUUUGGUGCUCUCUUUAGUGCUCUUGGUUUCUCCAAAUGUUUGUUGGUUCUUUUGUUGUUGUUGUUCCAUUUGUAGGAACAGAAUUUCAGUCUAGACUGAAAUUCAUAGCUGGACGCAUUUCCUCACUUCAAAUGAGAACUCAUGUUUACCUGGCAGUGAAUGCAAGUUUUGAUUACAAGAAUCUGCCUCAUGGGAUUUGGUAGGGAUAGGCAGACUCUGUAGGUAACGUCUCUUCUUAGAAUAGUUUCCUGACCCUCCAGGGUAUUGUCCUUUUCCUCUGACCUUAGCUUACUCUGGAACAGUAAUAUGUUGGUAAAUGUUUGACAGCCAGCUCUGGGUGGAGUGGGGGAAGUCCUAGUUUGCAGCAUUUCCUGAUUUCCAUGCAAUGUAAAAUCUCCCACCCUAGCCAAUUUUCAAGCUAGCAACAUAACAGUCACUGAAUGGGGAGUUGAGAAGAGAUGUGCAAACUAGAUUCUUAAGAGACUGACUUCAUUUAGCAUACCAUUGCUGUGGGGCUGCUGUACUAUGUCAGAAAACUAUACCCAUGACUCUCAUCUAAGCCCAAACAAUGGAGCCAGCUGCUCCAAGAGCAACUCCAGGAAUUGAUGGGGACUUAGGGGUAUGGCUCCGUUAUUUCUUCAGUUAACAAAGUACUUUGUUCCUUUGAAUGGUUUUAGGUUCUUAUGCCCUGCUAGAUUUCUCUACUGAUUCCCACGUUUCUUAUUUUUUUCAAAAAUUCCUUUCUAUAUUGUUUGCUGGAAGCACCUUUUCUGGUUUUCCUGUGCUGCUUUGAAUUUAUUUUUCUAUUUCUUUGUGAUUUCAGUGGAAUUUGGAGAAGGAAUGGCAAAGCGGAAGUCCUUCUCCUAUUUGAUGUCUUAACUUGUUUUUACUGGAAGUCACUUCCUCUUUUGUCUCAGAGGCUGAUUCGCCUCCCAUAACCAGUGAUUUUCCUGUAAGCUCAUUAUCCUGGAUGAUGGCUUGACUAACCAAGGCUACUGGCUGCUGAGGGGUUUCUGAGGAAACUUUGGUAGCCUGAUUGAGGCCAUCUGCCUCUCCACCUGCACUGUAGUUGUGGAGUACACCACUCUGUUCAUGGAGGCCAUGCACACUGGCCAGAGAAGAGCAGCCCAUGUGCAAAAGGAUCCAAGUAAGCAUUUUCCAUUCUCACAGGUCAAAUAAGAGGACUUCCCACAUUUAUUCAGAAGGUAGUUGAAAGUGGUCAGCCCCAGAUCUCCCCUAUGUGACUCUUUGGUUGAUGCUACUUGUACCUCAACACUUGGAAGGCCCGUUCUGGACAGGAGCAACUUUCACUUUACUCUGGAAACGUGGGCAGGUGGGCACAGAAUAGAGUGAAUCUGAGGCAGAAACUCCUUCAGGCUAACUUUGUGACGGACACUGUUCUAAGUCUUCAGGUGAGUUAACUCAUUUAGUCUUCAAGACAAUCCUCUGAAGUAGGUAUUUUUAUCAUCCUCAGUUUACAGACACAGAAACUGAGACACAGAAAGGCCAUUCAGCCACUCAGUGGUUGAGGCAGGACUGACACUCAAGAAGUCUUGUGACAGUUGUAAUGAGUUAGUCGUGAUGGUGGCUACCAGGUAGGUGUGUGGAUAGAUAUGUAGUGGCCUCUCCUCCGAUGGAAAACUCCCAAAGCACUGAAACAGUCUGGUAGCUGUAGUUGCCGAGGUGUGUAGGGGCAUCGGUGAGCUCAGCAGACUGUGUUCCAAGUCACAUUAAAGAGGCAGAUUUAUUGCAAGCCUAUCUCCUAGAGACAGAAUGUAUUUUCCAAAAAUGGGCAACACACUGUGUCCCAUCUCACAUGCUGUUCUUAUAAUAUAACUUUGAUACUACAUUCUUAUUUAGAAAUGGAAGCCCAUGUUUCCUCCCUUUGAUGCUGGGCAGAAUUGUGACUACAAUGAAAAUAAUGCUAUAUGGCUUUUGAGGCUAGGUCCUAAAAGGUAAUGCAAUAUACGUACAGUUCUCUUGGAAUAUUUAAUAUUGAAAUCCGACCACCACGCUGUAAAGAAGACUGCAGCCCAUGGAGAAGUCCACACAGCCAGAAACUGAGGCCCAAGGCUCACAUCCCCAGCUGAGCUCCUGGCCUACAGCCAGCCCCAAGGUGCCGUCAUGUGAAUGAGACAUUUUGAAAGUGGAUCCCCCAGGCCCAGGCAAGCCAUUCCUGACAAUAAAAUGUGGAACAGAGAUGUGAUUCCUUUUUAAGACCUCCCCAAAUAACAGAUUCCUAAGCAAAAAUAAAGGACUGUUGUUGUUUUAAGCCA